AGGACGAACGCUGGCGGCGUGCUUAACACAUGCAAGUCGAACGAGGUCCAACCAGUCGCAAGACUGGGGAAGACCUAGUGGCGAACGGGUGAGUAACACGUGAGGAACGUGCCCCGGAGACCGGGAUAACAGCGGGAAACCACUGCUAAUACCGGAUACCUUCUUUUGAUCGCAUGGUCAGCUGAAGAAAUGGAUUCCGCUCCGGGAGCGCCUCGCGGUCUAUCAGCUUGUUGGUGGGUAACGGCCCACCAAGGCUUCGACGGAUAGCUGGUCUGAGAGGACGAUCAGCCACACUGGGACUGAGACACGGCCCAGACU
rnacentral:rRNA from 1 species